AUUGAACGCCGGCGGCAUGCUUAACACAUGCAAGUCGAACGGUAACAGGUCUAGCUUGCUAGAUGCUGACGAGUGGCGGACGGGUGAGUAACGCGUGGGAAUCUGCCUUCUAGUGGGGGAUAGCCCGGAGAAAUCCGGAUUAAUACCGCAUACGCCCUACGGGGGAAAGCCGGGGAUCUUCGGACCUGGCGCUAGUAGAUGAGCCCGCGUGAGAUUAGCUUGUUGGUGGGGUAAUGGCCUACCAAGGCAACGAUCUCUAGCUGGUCUGAGAGGACGAUCAGCCACACUGGGACUGAGACACGGCCCAGACUCCUACGGGAGGCAGCAGUGGGGAAUAUUGGACAAUGGGCGAAAGCCUGAUCCAGCAAUGCCGCGUGUGUGAAGAAGGCCUGAGGGUUGUAAAGCACUUUCAAUCGUGAAGAAAAGUUGCAGGCUAAUACCCUGUGACCUUGACGUUAACGAUACAAGAAGCACCGGCUAACUCCGUG
rnacentral:rRNA from 1 species